GCUCUGGUUUUUUUUUCAAAUCGUAUAAACCUUUUGCUUUUUGUUAAAGAUUUCUGUGGAGGGGAGCGCUCUUAGUUUUCAUCAAUUUUUUUGUGGCUCUGCGUCAGUGGGACU